AUUCGUUUAAGAUUGGAGAUGAAGGAAGCAGAAAAAUCCAAAAAAACAAGCCGAAAAAGCUAGGAACGAAGAAGUGUAAGGAAAAUUAUGAAAAAGAAGAUGAAAUUGUGUAAAAACGGAAGAAAAACACAUAUCACAUUCAGAAGAUCGCGAAGAAUCUUAUAGAAAAUUCAAAUGUCGGAAAUGAGAUCAAACGCGCCCAAACAACAGAGUUAUAUCGCACUGGUAGUUCUAUUGCCGAACAAGCACUUGUGAAUGACGUCCUUGUAAAUGUUGGUUUGAGCAAAUGAAGAGAUUGAGGCUUGAGUAUUGUGGCGAGAUAUUGGCACACAAGAAAAAUGAUGAACAUCAUGUUAUGGUUCCGAGUUAAGGAAAUGGGAAACAAAGAAUCAAAUUUAACGGGAUCAUAAUGUCUUUGUAACAUCAAAUGUUGAAUUUCUUGUAAAUACUUUAUGUUGAAUUCGUAAA